UACGAAGGGGGCGAGCGUUGUUCGGAUUUACUGGGCGUAAAGGGCGCGUAGGCGCUGUCAGUCAGGCGUGAAAGCCCCGGGCUCAACCUGGGAACGGCGCUUGGGACGGCGAGGCUGGAGUUCGGGAGAGGAGAGUGGAAUUCCCAGUGUAGAGGUGAAAUUCGUAGAUAUUGGGAAGAACACCGGUGGCGAAGGCGGCGAGCUGGUCCAUUACUGACGCUGAGGCGCGACAGCGUGGGGAGCAAACAGG
rnacentral:rRNA from 1 species